UCCUACGGGAGGCAGCAGUAGGGAAUCUUCCGCAAUGGACGAAAGUCUGACGGAGCAACGCCGCGUGAGUGAUGAAGGCUUUCGGGUCGUAAAACUCUGUUGUUAGGGAAGAACAAGUGCUAGUUGAAUAAGCUGGCACCUUGACGGUACCUAACCAGAAAGCCACGGCUAACUACGUGCCAGCAGCCGCGGUAAUACGUAGGUGGCAAGCGUUAUCCGGAAUUAUUGGGCGUAAAGCGCGCGCAGGUGGUUUCUUAAGUCUGAUGUGAAAGCCCACGGCUCAACCGUGGAGGGUCAUUGGAAACUGGGAGACUUGAGUGCAGAAGAGGAAAGUGGAAUUCCAUGUGUAGCGGUGAAAUGCGUAGAGAUAUGGAGGAACACCAGUGGCGAAGGCGACUUUCUGGUCUGUAACUGACACUGAGGCGCGAAAGCGUGGGGAGCAAACAGGAUUAGAUACCCUGGUAGUCCACGCCGUAAACGAUGAGUGUUAAGUGUUAGAGGGUUUCCGCCCUUUAGUGCUGAAGUUAACGCAUUAAGCACUCCGCCUGGGGAGUACGGCCGCAAGGCUGAAACUCAAAGGAAUUGACGGA
rnacentral:rRNA from 1 species